GAGUUUGAUCAUGGCUCAGAUUGAACGCUGGCGGCAGGCCUAACACAUGCAAGUCGAGGGCAGCACGGGUACUUGUACCUGGUGGCGAGCGGCGGACGGGUGAGUAAUGCCUAGGAAUCUGCCUGGUAGUGGGGGAUAACGCUCGGAAACGGACGCUAAUACCGCAUACGUCCUACGGGAGAAAGCAGGGGACCUUCGGGCCUUGCGCUAUCAGAUGAGCCUAGGUCGGAUUAGCUAGUUGGUGAGGUAAUGGCUCACCAAGGCGACGAUCCGUAACUGGUCUGAGAGGAUGAUCAGUCACACUGGAACUGAGACACGGUCCAGACUCCUACGGGAGGCAGCAGUGGGGAAUAUUGGACAAUGGGCGAAAGCCUGAUCCAGCCAUGCCGCGUGUGUGAAGAAGGUCUUCGGAUUGUAAAGCACUUUAAGUUGGGAGGAAGGGCAGUAAAUUAAUACUUUGCUGUUUUGACGUUACCGACAGAAUAAGCACCGGCUAACUCUGUGCCAGCAGCCGCGGUAAUACAGAGGGUGCAAGCGUUAAUCGGAAUUACUGGGCGUAAAGCGCGCGUAGGUGGUUUGUUAAGUUGGAUGUGAAAUCCCCGGGCUCAACCUGGGAACUGCAUUCAAAACUGACAAGCUAGAGUAUGGUAGAGGGUGGUGGAAUUUCCUGUGUAGCGGUGAAAUGCGUAGAUAUAGGAAGGAACACCAGUGGCGAAGGCGACCACCUGGACUGAUACUGACACUGAGGUGCGAAAGCGUG
rnacentral:rRNA from 1 species